UGUGCCUACGGGAGGCAGCAGUAGGGAAUAUUGCUCAAUGGGGGAAACCCUGAAGCAGCAACGCCGCGUGGAGGAUGAAGGUUUUCGGAUUGUAAACUCCUUUUGUUAGAGAAGAUAAUGACGGUAUCUAACGAAUAAGCACCGGCUAACUCCAUGCCAGCAGCCGCGGUAAUACGGAGGGUGCAAGCGUUACUCGGAAUCACUGGGCGUAAAGAGCGCGUAGGCGGGAUAGCAAGUCAGAUGUGAAAUCCUAUGGCUUAACCAUAGAACUGCAUUUGAAAAUGUUAUUCACG
rnacentral:rRNA from 1 species